AAGUCAUUUUGAGUUGAGCAUUCGAUUGAAUUGGACGUACCGAGCAUUCACUGAAUAGAGUUCACCGCUAAAAACGCUAAAAACACUAAAAUCAACAAAGUCAUCGUUUUUUCUCACGUUUCACGAAGAAAGCAAAAAAUUGAAGAAAAUGGCAUCAUCGAAAAAGUCAAAGGGACCAGAGGUGAGCAAAGUGCGUGAAAUAAUGAAGCGCCUGAAGGCCACAAAGAGUGACAACGAAACCGCGAAGAAAGUUGCCAAAGAACUCGGCUAUAAGAUCUUCAGCAAGAAAACGUUGGCUGGUUUGCGUGGCAAAAUGCAAGCUUCACUCAGAGCAUGGGACGACGAAUAGCAUCGCGACAGCAUGGACCACUCGAUAUCAAUGACGACCGCCUUUUGUAUACGGACACAGCCAAUCUGAACGCAUCAAAAAACAACAAAACAAACGAUUUACACAGCA